GAUGAACGCUGGCGGCGUGCCUAAUACAUGCAAGUCGAGCGAACAGACGAGAGUGCUUGCACUCUCUGACGUUAGCGGCGGACGGGUGAGUAACACGUGGGUAACCUACCUAUAAGACUGGGAUAACUUCGGGAAACCGGAGCUAAUACCGGAUAAUAUUUAGCUUCGCAUGAAGCAAUAGUGAAAGACGGUUCUGCUGUCACUUAUAGAUGGACCCGCGGUGUAUUAGCUAGUUGGUGAGGUAACGGCUCACCAAGGCAACGAUACAUAGCCGACCUGAGAGGGUGAUCGGCCACACUGGGGCUGAGACACGGCCCAGACUCCUACGGGAGGCAGCAGUAGGGAAUCUUCCGCAAUGGACGAAAGUCUGACGGAGCAAUGCCGCGUGAGUGAAGAAGGUUUUCGGAUCGUAAAACUCUGUUGUAAGGGAAGAACAAGUACGUUAGUAACUGAACGUACCUUGACGGUACCUGACCAGAAAGCCACGGCUAACUACGUG
rnacentral:rRNA from 1 species